rnacentral:rRNA from 1 species
ACGCUCGACACCUACGGGAGACAGCAGUGGGGAAUAUUGCACAAUGGGGGAAACCCUGAUGCAGCAACGCCGCGUGAAGGAAGACGGUUUUCGGAUUGUAAACUUCUGUUCUUAGUGAAGAUAGUGACGGUAGCUAAGGAGCAAGCCACGGCUAACUACGUGCCGACAGCCGCGGUAAUCUGAGCGGGCUGGCAAGGC